AAUAGAUACCCCGGUAGUCCACGCCGUAAACGAUGGAUGCUAGCUGUUAGGAGUAUCGACCCUUCUAGUAGCGAAGCUAACGCGUUAAGCAUCCCGCCUGGGGAGUACGGUCGCAAGAUUAAAACUCAAAGGAAUUGACGGGGACCCGCACAAGUGGUGGAGCGUGUUCUUUAAUUCGAGGAUAAGCGAAGAACCUUACCAGGGUUUGACAUCCUUGGAAUUUCUGUGAAAGCAGAGAGUACUUUAUUGGACCAAGUGACAGGUGUUGCAUGGCCGUCGUCAGCUCGUGUCGUGAGAUGUUAGGUUAAGUCCUUCAACGAGCGCAACCCUUAUGUUUAGUUGGAUUUUUCUAAACAGACUGCCUCGGUAACGGGGAGGAAGGAGGGGAUGAUGUCAGGUCAUUAUACCCUUACACCCUGGGCUAGAAACGCGCUACAAUGGCCGGUACAAAGGGCAGCCAACCCGCGAGGGGGAGCAAAUCCCAUCAAAACCGGGUCCCAGUUCGGAUUGCAGGCUGAAACUCGCCUGCAUGAAGCCGGAAUCACUAGUAAUCGUAGGUC
rnacentral:rRNA from 1 species